rnacentral:rRNA from 1 species
AAUAGCCGCAGUAUUUUGACUGUGCUAAGGUAGCAUAAUCAUUAGUCUUUUAAUUGAAGGCUGGUAUGAAUGGCAAGACGAGAAAGUAGCUGUCUCUUUUAAAAAAAUUGAAUUUCAUUUUUAAGUGAAAAAGCUUAAAUACAUUUAAGGGACGAUCAGACCCUAUGGAGCUUAAUUUUAUUAAACAGUUAAAUUUAUAUUUGAAAGUUCACUGUUUAAUAAAAUUUUGUUGGGGCGACAAAGAGAUAAAAAUAACACUCUUUUUAUUAAACACAUAUAGAUGAAGAGAUGAUCCCUAAAGAAGGAUUAAAAGACUAAGUUACCCUAGGGAUAACAGCGUAAUUUUUUUGGAGAGUUCAAAUCGAUAAAAAAGUUUGCGACCUCGAUGUUGGAUUAGGAAUUUAACUAGGUGCAGAAGUUUAGUUGUAGAGUCUGUUCGACUUUUAAAAUCCUACAUGAUCU